GAUGAACGCUGGCGGCGUGCCUAAUACAUGCAAGUCGAGCGAACGGACGAGAAGCUUGCUUCUCUGAUGUUAGCGGCGGACGGGUGAGUAACACGUGGAUAACCUACCUAUAAGACUGGGAUAACUUCGGGAAACCGGAGCUAAUACCGGAUGAUAUUUUGAACCGCAUGGUUCAAAAGUGAAAGACGGUCUUGCUGUCACUUAUAGAUGGAUCCGCGCUGCAUUAGCUAGUUGGUAAGGUAACGGCUUACCAAGUCAACGAUGCAUAGCCGACCUGAGAGGGUGAUCGGCCACACUGGAACUGAGACACGGUCCAGACUCCUACGGGAGGCAGCAGUAGGGAAUCUUCCGCAAUGGGCGAAAGCCUGACGGAGCAACGCCGCGUGAGUGAUGAAGGUCUUCGGAUCGUAAAACUCUGUUAUUAGGGAAGAACAUAUGUGUAAGUAACUGUGCACAUCUUGACGGUACCUAAUCAGAAAGCCACGGCUAACUACGUG
rnacentral:rRNA from 1 species